GAACUCUAAAUUUCACUCUUUAAGCUGAGUUGUUUGAGUAGAGUUGAGCAGAGGAGUGGUGGGGUCAGACUUAGGAUUUAAACAGCUCUUCAUGCCUGCCGUAUGGAGAACAGAAUGCAGGGGCCAGGGGAGAAGCCUGGAGACCAGGGUGACCAAUGACAUUCCAGAUGGUAGAGUCCCUGAGUGACACAGAACAACCCUCCCUGUUCACCAACCUGAGGUGCUGGAAAGUCCAAGAUCCAGACACCGUCAGAUCCCAUGAAUGGGCACACUCAUCUGACAAAUACAAGAUUCCAGGCUGGAACCUGACGGGUUUUUGGCAUCAACAUCCCUUGCUGUGAAUUUGUUGUUUUGCUGUUUGAAUGAGAGAAUUGGACAAGACAGGCUUCAGUCACAGACACCCCAAGCAGACCAGGAUCCUUCCUAAGAGGAACACAAUUCCCCUCAUGGGUUGGGGUUUGGAUGUUUGGUUCAGGAAGAGCCUAGGACCUGGCUGCGGUCACCCAGGGCGCCCAGCACUCGACCCGAGAACAUUUCUGAAAGUAGCACUGCAGUUCCUCGAUAACUGAGCAGACUCCAAGGAGACAAGGAGAAAACAGAAAAUAAGAAAGGAGGUAACAAAGAGACCAUUCUAAAUUCAAAAAAGCAAUUUUAGAAUCAAAGUGAAUUCGGCUAUUGAAGCCAGAAACUACAGAAGUUCACACGGUGAGGUCUUGGCCUUAGCUCUUCAGCGAGCUGGGUUCCACGUCGGGGAAAUGAAGUUACCGUGAAAUCAAAGCCUCAGAGGGUGAAUCAAGGAGCCGGCAUGUAAGCACCUUGGUUAAGCCUGUGCCCAGAGGAAGGCCAAAGAACAGCAGACAACAGGAACCCCGCCUUCAGGAAGCCUUCAGCAGGAGCAGCAAAAAUCUGCUUCCUCUCCAACCCUAAGGUCACUGCAGGCUGACAAACCCUUCCCCCACGCCCUGCCACUUGAGCAGCUCAGCUCCCUGCAACCCACCCGUCCUAACCCCCACCCCCAGCUGAAUCACAGAGGCCACUUUUUUUUUUUUUUUUUUUUGGGACGGAGGCUUGCUCUGUCACCCAGGCUGGAGUGCACUGGCGUUGAGAGGUGACAGCGUGCUGGCAGUCCUCACAGCCCUCGCUCAAUCUCGGCGCCUCCUCUGCCUGGGCUCCCACUUUGGCGGCCCUUGAGGAGCCCUUCAGCCCGCCGCUGCACUGUGGGAGCCCCUUUCUGGGCUGGCCAAGGCCAGAGCCGGCUCCCUCAGCUUGCAGGGAGGUGUGGAGGGAGAGGCGCGGGCGGGAACCGGGGCUGCGCGCGGUGCUUGCGGGCCAGCGCGAGUUCCGGGUGGGCGUGGGCUCCGCGGACCCCGCACUCGGAGCGGCCGGCCGGCCCCACCGGCCCCGGGUACUGAGGGGUUUAGCACCUGGGCCAGCAGCUGCUGUGCUCAAUUUCUCGCCGGGCCUUAGCUGCCUUCCGGCGGAGCAGGGCUCGGGACCUGCAGCCUGCCAUGCCUGAGCCUCCCCCACGCUCCGUGGGCUCCUGUGCGGCCUGAGCCUCCCCGACGAGCGCCACCCCCUGCUCCAGGGCGCCCAGGCCCAUCCACCACCCAAGGGCUGAGAAGUGCGGGCGCACGGCCCAGGACUGGCAAGCAGCUCCACCUGCAGCCCCGGUGCGGGAUCCAUUGAGUGAAGCCAGCUGGGCUCCUGACUGUGGUGGGGACGUGGAGAACCUUUAUGUCUAGCUAAGGGAUUGUAAAUACACCAAUCAGCACUCUGUAUCUAGCUCAAGGUUUGUAAACACACCAAUCAGCACCCUGUGUCUAGCUCAGGGUUUGUGAAUGCACCAGUCGACACUCUGUAUCUAGCUACUCUGAUGGGGACUUGGAGAACCUUUGUGUCGACACUGUAUCUAGCUAAUCUGGUGGGGACGUGGAGAAACUUUGUGUCUAGCUCAGGGAUUGUAAAUACACCAAUCGGCACUCUGUAUCUAGCUCAAGGUUUGUAAACACACCAAUCAGCACCCUGUGUCUAGCUCAGGGUUUGUGAAUGCACCAAUCGACAAUCUGUAUCUAGCUACUCUGGUGGGGACUUGGAGAACCUUUGUGUCCACACUCAGUUUCUAGCUAAUCUAGUGGGGAUGUGGUGAACCUUUGUGUCUAGCUCCGGGAUUGUAAAAGCACCAAUCAGCACCCUGUCAAAACAGACCACUCGGCUCUCUGUAAAAUGGACCAAUCAGCAGGAUGUGGGUGGGGCCAGAUAAGAGAAUAAAAGCAGGCUGCCGGAGCCAGCAGUGGCAACUCGGUAGGGUCCCCUUCCACGCUGUGGAAGCUUCGUUCUUUUUCUCUUUGCAAUAAAUUUUGUUGCUGCUCACUGUUUGGGUCCACACUGUCUUUAUGAGCUGUAACACUCAUUGCGAAGGUCUGCAGGUUCACUCCUGAAGCCAGCGAGACCACGAACCCACCAGGAGGAACAAACAACUCCAGACCAGCCGCCUUAAGAGCUGUAACACUCACUGUGAAGGUCUGUAGCUUCACUCUUAAGCCAGCGAGACCACGAACCCACCAGAAGGAAAAAACUUUAAACACUUCCGAAUAUCAGAAGGAACAAACUCCGGACACGCCACCUUUAAGAACUGUAACACUCACCGCGAGGGUCCGCGGCUUCAUCCUUGAAGUCAGUGAGACCAAGAAUCCACCAAUUCCGGACACAGCGUGAUCUCGGCUCAUUGCAAGCUCCGCCUCCCAGGUUCACGUCAUUCUCCUGCCUCAGCCUCCCCAGCAGAUGGGACUACAGGCGCAUGCUGCCACGCCCGGCUAAAUUUUUUUUUGUUUUUAGUAGAGAUGGGGUUUCACCAUGUUUGUCAGGAUGGUCUGACCUCCUGACCUUGUGAUCCGCCCGCCUCGGUCUCCCAAAGUGCCCGGAUUACAGGCGUGAGCCACUGCGCCUGGCCUCUUUUUUUUUUUUCUUCGAGAUGGAGUCUCACUCUGUCGCCCAGGCUGGCAGCGUGAUGGCGCGAUCUCGGCUCCCUGCAACCUCUGCCUCCUGGGUUCCAGUGAUUCUCUUGCCUCAGCCUCCCGAGUAGCUGGGAAUGCAGGUGCCCGCCAUCAUGCCUGGCUAAUUUUUGUAUUUUUAGUAGAGACAGGGUUUUACCAUUUUGGCCAGGCUGGUCUCGAACUCCUGACCUCAGGUGAUCUGCCCAUCUCAGCCUCCCAAAGUGCUGGGAUUACAGGCGUGGGCCACCACACCCAGCCACAGAGGCUACUUUCUGCCCACCUCUCCCAGGCUGGGCUCUCUAGCCUUGCACUUCUGCUCAUGAAGACUAAGGGUUGCCAAUGUCACAAUGGCAGACACUGGCGGGUCCCAGUAGGUCUGCUUCUGCUUCAUGGGGGUAGCCGUGGAUAGCACAGUGGGCAGCCCUGGAAACAAAAUCCCCUUUGACAUCCAAAAUGAAGCUUGCCUAGAGCAGUGUCCGGUCCAUGGAAAUACAAGUAAUAUUGUUGGAAGGCAGCAGGCACCAGACAUCCAUUUGUGUGGGGGAAAAUGUAUCACAAAAGCGUUUCCUGGUCCAGAAAGUAAACCAUUGAACUUGAUCCGACUGUUUCCCAAGUCAAAAGGGCAGAACUUCCUGUCUGAAUUUUAAAGCCUCUGUUGCCUUGAUUUUGUUCCUGACUCAAUGGAGAUGAAUUCCGAGUUGAAGACAAACAAUUGUGCCUUGUGAACAGUCGCCACGUCGAAAAGACUCAAGAGUACUUUUGCGGAAACCUGUCUCAGGAAAAAUUCCCAGUGUGGGAGGGAAGGAGGGUGAACUCCAUCCUGGAAGGAGGAAUUCCAGUUGCUCUGAAAAUGUAAUUUUCUAAGUAAAUUCAUUAAAGUUGAAAUGUCUAAUAAGAAAGGGGAAGCAAAGUUGGUUGCAAAGGGAGAAAUUGCAUACUGCAAAGCCACAAAUUCCUAAGCAGCAAAAUUUCUUUCUUUUUUUAAUUUUUUCCAGAGACUAGCUUGAGUGCAAUGGUGCAAUCAUAGCUCACUGCAGCCUUGAACUCCUAUACUCAAGUGAUUCUCCCACCUCACCCUGCCUAGUAGCUGUGGCUAUAGAUGUGAGCCACCACACCCGGCUUAAAAUUUCUUGGUACUAGAAAAAUUGCUCUCAUACUGGCAAUUUCACCCAGGAUCAUUGAUCUCUUCUGAAUGGUGAAAAUUGACACCGAAGAGCUUUCUGUGUAAAUUGCUGCACAGGGUAUGCAGGUAUACUGCAUGCCCAGCCUUGUGCUUCUUGCCUGGUUGCAAAACCACUUGUAUUUCCACCCUCUUGAUUCCUAAAUUACUACACAAAAACAGAGUUCCUGAGUCUAGGAAGGGGGGAAAAAUCCCCUGAAAUUCUGUUCUCAGGGUAGAGUUUACCUCUCCUAAUAUAAAGAUUGACACUCAGUAAGAAACAUUCAAAGUAGCAGUCAUGUUGGGACCAGCCUUUGUGAUUGUUUUGCCAGCUCUGCAGAAAUUAUUUUUUAGGAAGAGUGAUGCUCUCUUCUUCGUUCCUGCCCACAACAGCCACAAAAUACAAUAUUCAUUAUCAACAACAAAUAUUUAUUGCCUAUUGUGUGCCAUCCACUUGUGCUAGCCACUGGUGUUUUUAUUUUUUUUUAAAGUGAAAGUGAUUUGAAAUGAAUUUUCUUCCCGAUAUUUGAAGUCCUCUAGAAAUAUUAUAAGUUCAAAAUUAGAUGUCAUUGUCCCAGGAUGAGAUUUCUUUUGAAUAUGAUAAAUACUUCUUAAAGUAAAAAUGUUUUAAGGAUCCCUCUCCACAAUAUUUUUUUUAGAAUCCUCUGAUAAAAUAUUUAUUUAUGUAAUGUCUUCUGGAUUAUGGUAAAAAAAAUUGUUUUUAAUAUAUUUAAUUCAGUCAACAAAUAUUUGAAGGGUACACUAUGUAUCAGGCACUAAUCUGUAUGCUGAAUAAUUCAGUGGUAAGCACUAAUAAUUAUAGUCAUAGAUAUUGAGAGCAUUUCAUGUACUCAUUGUAUUAAACAUUAUGUUAAGG
rnacentral:lncRNA from 10 species